GAGUCAGUGAUUCGGGUCUAUGAGUCUGUCAGUCGGGACUAUGAGUCUGUGAGUCGGGUCUAUGAGUCUGUGAGUCGGGUCUAUGAGUCAGUGAGUCAGGUCUAUGAGUCUGUGAGUCGGGUCUGUGAGUCUGUGAGUCGGGUCUAUGAGUCUGUGAGUCGGGUCUAUGAGUCUGUGAGUCGGGUCUAUGAGUCAGGUCUAUGAGUCUGUGAGUCGGGUCUGUGAGUCAGUGAGUCGGGUCUAGGAGUCUGUGAGUCGGGUCUAGGAGUCUGUGAGUCGUGUCUAUGAGUCUGUGAGUCGUGUCUAUGAGUCAGUGAGUCAGGUCUAUGAGUCUGUGAGUCGGGUCUAUGAGUCAGUGAGUCGGGACUAUGAGUCUGUGAGUCGGGUCUAUGAGUCUGUGAGUCAGGUCUAUGUUGUUUAGGCCGUGUUACCCACAGACUUGAUGCCAGGGGCUAA